AUACGACCAUGUCACGUUGAAACACCGGUUUGCGUAAUGAUCACUGAAGUUAAACAACGUCGAGCCUGGCCAGUACCUACAUGGGCGACCGCUUGGGAAUAGCAGAUGCUGUAA